rnacentral:rRNA from 1 species
CGUAUACGCCCUUCGGGGGAAAGAUUUAUCGGAGAAGGAUCAGCCCGCGUAAGAUUAGAUAGUUGGUGGGGUAAUGGCCUACCAAGUCUACGAUCUUUAGCUGGUUUUAGAGGAUGAUCAGCAACACUGGGACUGAGACACGGCCCAGACUCCUACGGGAGGCAGCAGUGGGGAAUCUUGGACAAUGGGCGCAAGCCUGAUCCAGCCAUGCCGCGUGUGUGAUGAAGGCCUUAGGGUCGUAAAGCACUUUCGCUAGAGAUGAUAAUGACAGUAUCUAGUAAAGAAGUCCCGGCUAACUCCGGGCCAGCAGCCGCGGUAAUACGGAGGGGACUAGCGUUGUUCGGAAUUACUGGGCGUAAAGCGUACGUAGGCGGAUCAGAAAGUAUGGGGUGAAAUCCCAGGGCUCAACCCUGGAACUGCCUCAUAAACUCCUGGUCUAGAGUUCGAGAGAGGUGAGUGGAAUUCCGAGUGUAGAGGUGAAAUUCGUAGAUAUUCGGAGGAACACCAGUGGCGAAGGCGGCUCACUGGCUCGAUACUGACGCUGAGGUACGAAAGUGUGGGGAGCAAACAGGAUUAGAUACCCUGGUAGUCCACACCGUAACGAUGAAUGCCAGUCGUCGGGUAGC